rnacentral:rRNA from 1 species
UGCAGUGUUAUCCGGAAUCACUGGGCGUAAAGCGUCUGUAGGUGGUUUAGUAAGUCUAUUGUUAAAGCUUGAGGCUCAACUUCAAAUCAGCGAUGGAAACUGCUAGACUAGAGUGUGGUAGAGGUAAGAGGAAUUUCCAGUGGAGCGGUGAGAUGCGUAGAUAUUGGAAAGAACACCGAUGGCGAAGGCAUCUUACUGGGCCAUAACUGACACUCAGAGACGAAAGCUAGGGUAGCAAAUGGGAUUAGAUACCCCAGUAGUCCUAGCAGUAAACGAUGGAUACUAGAUGUUGCCCGUAUCAACCCGUGCAGUGUCAAAGCUAACGCGUUAAGUAUCCCGCCUGGGAAGUAUGCACGCAAGUGUGAAACUCAAAGGAAUUGACGGGGGCCCGCACAAGCGGUGGAGCAUGUGGUUUAAUUUGAUGCAACGCGAAGAACCUUACCAGGGUUUGACAUGACAUGAAUUUUUCUGAGAAGAAAAAGUGCCUUUUAGGAACAUGUACACAGGUGGUGCAUGGCUGUCGUCAGCUCGUGUCGUGAGAUGUUGGGUUAAGUCCCGCAACGAGCGCAACCCUUGUUUUUAGUUAUUUUUCUAGAAAGACUGCCGGUUAUAAGCCGGAGGAAGGCGGGGACGACGUCAAGUCAGCAUGCCCCUUAUACCCUGGGCUACACACGUGCUACAUUGGGUAAGACAAUGAGUCGCGAGCCUGUGAAGGUCAGCAAAUCUAUAAACUUACUCUAAGUUCGGAUUGUAGGCUGCAA